rnacentral:rRNA from 1 species
CCUACGGGAGGCAGCAGUGAGGAAUUUUCCGCAAUGGGCGAAAGCCUGACGGAGCAAUGCCACGUGGAGGAGGAAGGCCUGUGGGUCGUAAACUCCUUUUCUCAGAGAAGAAGUUCUGACGGUAUCUGAGGAAUAAGCAUCGGCUAACUCUGUGCCAGCAGCCGCGGUAAUACAGGGGAUGCAAGCGUUAUCCGGAAUUAUUGGGCGUAAAGCGUCCUGAGGUGGCUUACCCAGUCGACUGUGAAAGCUCAAGGCUUAACCUUGAAACGGCAGUCGAAACUUGUAAGCUUGAGUACGGUAGGGGCAGAGGGAAUUCCCGGAGGAGAGGUGAAAUUCGUAGAUAUCGGGAGGAAGGCCAAAGGCGAAAGCACUCUGCUGGGCCGAUUACUGACACUGACAGACGAAAGCUAGGGGAGCGAAAGGGAUUAGAUACCCCUGUAGUCCUAGCCGUAAACGAUGGAUACUAAGUGUUGCGCGACUCAAAACGUGCAGUGCUGCAGCUAACGCGGUAAGUAUCCCGCCUGGGGAGUAUGCCGCAAGGGUGAAACUCAAAUGAAUUGACCGGNNGAGAGNGCGAGACGACGACGAGGGAGAG